rnacentral:rRNA from 1 species
CAGUAGCCACGGUAAUACGGAGGGGGCUAGCGUUGUUCGGAAUUACUGGGCGUAAAGCGCACGUAGGCGGCUUGGUAAGUUAGAGGUGAAAGCCUGGAGCUCAACUCCAGAAUUGCCUUUAAGACUGCCGAGCUAGCAGGUGAGAGAGGUAAGUGGAAUUCCGAGUGUAGAGGUGAAAUUCGUAGAUAUUCGGAAGAACACCAGUGGCGAAGGCGGCUUACUGGCUCAUACUGGACGCUGAGGUGCGAAAGCGUGGGGAGCAAACAGGAUUAGAUACCCCCGUAGUCCCUGUCUCUUAUAC